rnacentral:rRNA from 1 species
GUUGAACGCUGGCGGCGUGCUUAACACAUGCAAGUCGAACGGAAGGGCUCCUGCUUGCCGGGGUACUCGCGUGGCGAACGGGUGAGAAACCCGUGGGUGAUCUGCCCUGCACUUCGGGAUAAGCCUGGGCGACUGGGUAUACUACCGGAUAGGACGAUGGUUUGGAUGCCAUUGUGGAAAGUUUGUCGGUAUGGGAUGAGCUCGCGGGCUAUCGGCUUGUUGGUGGGGUAAUGGCUUCCCAAGGCGUGGACUGGUAGUCGGCCUGAGAGGUGGUACGGCGACAAUGGGACUGAGGUACGGCGCAGACUGCAACAGUGGACAGCAGUGGAAAGUAUGGCACAGUGAGGGCAAGCCUGUUGCGACGGCGCUGCGUGUGGGAAGACGGCCAUCGGGUGGGAAACGCCAGUCACUAGAGACGAAGCUGAAGUGACGGUACCUGGAGAAUAAGCACCGGCUAACUACGUG